rnacentral:rRNA from 1 species
CGGUAUAGGGGUUUGAACAUAAUCAGGAGUUCACAGGUAAUUGUGAUCCAUGAGUUGGGUUAAUAACGUCAGUAAGACAGUUAGUAUCCUAUCU